CAAAGGAAUUGACGGGCCCGCACAAGCAGCGGAGCGUGUGGUUAAUUCGAUGUUACACGAAGAACCUUACCAGGGUUUGACAUGCAAGUGGUAGGAAGCCGAAAGGUGACCGACCCUUCGGGGAGCUUGCACAGGUGCUGCAUGGCUGUCGUCAGCUCGUGUCGUGAGAUGUUCGGUUAAGUCCGCUAACGAGCGCAACCCUCGCUGUGUGUUAUAUGUGUCACACGGGACUGCCGGUCUUAAGCCGGAGGAAGGUGGGGAUGAUGUCAAGUCAGCAUGGCCUUUAUAUCCUGGGCUACACACACGCUACAAUGGCCAACACAAUAGGUUGCUAAGCCGCGAGGUGGCGCCAAUCCAUAAAGUUGGUCUCAGUUCAGAUUGUAGGCUGCAACCCGCCUGCAUGAAGAUGGAGUUGCUAGUAACCGCAGGUCAGCUAUACUGCGGUGAAUACGUUCCCGGGGCUU
rnacentral:rRNA from 1 species